rnacentral:rRNA from 1 species
GACGAACGCUGGCGGCGUGCUUAACACAUGCAAGUCGAACGGACGAGUGAGAUAAGUUUACUUAACUCACAAGUUAGUGGCGGACGGGUGAGUAAUACGUGGAUAAUCUACCUGCAACACCGGGAUAACGCUGUGAAAACGGUGCUAAUACCGGAUACGUUCCCUUGUGCGCAUGUAUGAGGGAAGAAAGCUCAGGCGGUUGCAGAUGAGUCCGCGGCUGAUUAGCUAGUUGGUGAGGUAAAGGCUCACCAAGGCGAUGAUCAGUAGCCGGCCUGAGAGGGUGAACGGCCACACUGGGACUGAGACACGGCCCAGACUCCUACGGGAGGCAGCAGUAGGGAAUCUUCCGCAAUGGGCGCAAGCCUGACGGAGCGACGCCGCGUGAGUGAUGAAGGCCUUCGGUCGUAAGCUCUGUCCUAGGGAAGAUAAUGACGGUACCCUAGGAGGAAGCCCCGGCUAACUACGUGCCAGCAGCCGCGGUAAAGAGUAGUACAC